GCUGCAGUUGUCAGUUGACAGUUGCCAGUUGCCAUCUGUAAUACCGUUUUGGCAACUAUCAACGCAACUGAAGUUUGCUUGCUAUCGAUAAUCGACCCAUUAGUACGAAAAGUAUGAGGUUGGCAACAGUGCCGAUGUAACUACAACAUAAAACAGCUGAUUGCCUUUCUCUUUUCAUUGCAAUCACAGCUGAUUUUAACUAGUACUUGCUGUUUCUUAUCAGAAAAAUUUCAGGUGCAAUAGCACUUAAAUGGGUCUCAAUUAAAAGGGCAAUGAAUAGGUGUAUAUGCGAGCAUAGAAUAGAAGUGGAUAAUCUAGACAACGGAGAAAUCAUUAACCAUACAAUACUUCUUAUUAAGGGGCACAUCCGUCAGCCACGAUUUCCAUUGCCCAACAAUACAACAAAAAAGUGUGUGGAGGAGCAACUUGUAUUGCGGUUAAGACAGCAAUUGGUGCAUGCAGAUAGUGCAGGGGUAUUGCAACAGCAUACCCCAAUAUCAAGAAACGGCCAGUUCAAAUUGUUAUGUGAUCUGGGUCAACAUGUGUCACUAGCAGAGGAGAUUCAAUUGCAAUUAGAUUUUAGCUUCUGCAAUACUUUGCAUCAAUUGGAGAUUUUAUAUAAAGCUGCCGAUACUAGCAAUAAAAAUUAUCGUUUGCAACCAUUGUAUAUUACAUGUUCUAAACAAAGUGUGCCCGUGGAGCUUGUUCAUGAAAAUUGUGAGAAAAUAAAUUUGAAUUUACGUUUGGUUCAAUGUAUCUAUGCCGAACAGCUAAGAACAGCGGGUUUUGGCAGGCGUACCUUUACGAUAAACGGCGAUUGCCAAGUAUUUGAGUCGAAUUUAACGUGCGAAGAAGUUUGGCAGCAGAACGAGAAAGACUUGUGGCAAAAUUUCGCACAAGAGCUACUUAACUCCAGCAAUUGGGGUGAAGAUUCCAAACUGAAAUUUGUGGCAUUCAUUAGUUGUACUAGAUAUGACGGUGCGGCAGUAGCUGCCUCAGGCGACUUUUCAUAUGCAAAUAUACGCCUUCAUUUAAGGGGACACGCAGCCCUGGGAGGUGGGGGCCUGGCACUUUUUGGCGCAGCCUAUUUAUUUGCAUGGCCGCAGACUUGUAAUGCAAUACAAACUUGCUUUGGAAGUACCAAAGAAGUAGAUCUAACGGAAUUGCCCGAUGACAGCAACUAUCGACGUACAUACGGCGGAGUUUAUGCCACUACUUUAGGCGCUGUAGUGCAUGAAAUCGGACACACCUUUGAUCUGGGGCACACCAAAGAUGGUGUGAUGGGCAAUGGCUUUGAUUAUGUAAAUCGAGUUUUUACCUUAGAUAAUCUGACGGAACAUCUGCCAGAUAGAAUCAUACAGCACGUGGCGCCAAAAGUGAUCGCUCAAGUAGCAACUCGUCCCCGUUUUACACAACUCAAGCGCACGACAAAUUCUUUUCUCGACAAAUACCACGAACAAAAAACAAGCGAUUCUUUUUAUUUUACCCGCAAUUGUGCAGUAAUUUUAGCGCACCAUAAAUGGUUCAGAAUUCACAAUGGAAGCGCUGAUGAAGAGAGAGCGUGCGAUGCGGAGAUAACGUAUGAUGCGGUUAAUAAUUGUGUCAUAUCCGCAGGAGACAAUCAUCCGUUGUGCUUGAUUGAGGUGCGUUGCAUGGACAAUAGUUUAGUUAAAUACUGGUACGAGUUGCAAUCGGGCAAAGACAUCGAUGAGAUUUAUACAUUUCAUUUGCCAAAAGAGGCACACGAGGAAAAUCACUAUUUAUUCGUGCUGACGAAGACGGGGUUGACGAAGCGUUUUAAUGAAUACUAAAAUUCAAAUAUUUGCAUGGUCGUAUUUUGCACGUUUCUAGGUAAUGGUAACAACACUAUUUCCUGCGUCGCUGAUGCUCUAAUAGCAACUUAUUUAAAAACUCAUUUGAGAGCCUUUGCAUUUGCAAGAAAGUAUUUCAUUACACUUGCAAAAGUGCAUAUGCCUUCAUAUAGUAUGGUAUGUAUGUGCAUAACUGUGUCGCCGUCUCUUGGAAGCAGUACAAUGAAC